GACGAACGCUGGCGGCGUGCUUAACACAUGCAAGUCGAACGGUAAGGCCCUGCUUUUGUGGGGUGCUCGAGUGGCGAACGGGUGAGUAACACGUGAGUAACCUGCCCUUUACUUUGGGAUAACUUCAUGAAACUGGGGCUAAUACCGGAUAUGAGCUCCUGCUGCAUGGUGUGGGUUGGAAAGUUUCGGCGGUUGGGGAUGGACUCGCGGUUUAUCAGCUUGUUGGUGGGGUAGUGGCUUACCAAGGCUUUGACGGGUAGCCGGCCUGAGAGGGUGACCGGCCACAAUGGGACUGAGAUACGGGCAAGAGGGCUACGGGAGGAAGCAGUGGGAAAUAGUGCAAAAUGGGCGGAAGCCGGAAGCAGGAACGCCGCGUGCGGGAUGACGGCCGUCGGGGUGUAAACCGCGUUCGCCUGGGACGAAGCGUGAGUGACGGUAAUGGGUAAAGAAGCACCGGCUAACUACGUG
rnacentral:rRNA from 1 species